UACGUAGGGUGCAAGCGUUAGUCGGAAUUACUGGGCGUAAAGCGUGCGCAGGCGGUUCGCUAAGACAGAUGUGAAAUCCCCGGGCUUAACCUGGGAACUGCAUUUGUGACUGGCGGGCUAGAGUAUGGCAGAGGGGGGUAGAAUUCCACGUGUAGCAGUGAAAUGCGUAGAGAUGUGGAGGAAUACCGAUGGCGAAGGCAGCCCCCUGGGCCAAUACUGACGCUCAUGCACGAAAGCGUGGGGAGCAAACAGG
rnacentral:rRNA from 1 species